AGUGUAGGCGGCUAUUUAAGUCGGAUGUGAAAGCCCCGGGCUCAACCUGGGAAUUGCAUUCGAAACUGAAUAGCUAGAGUUUGGUAGAGGUAAGUGGAAUUCCGGGUGUAGCGGUGAAAUGCGUAGAUAUCCGGAGGAACAUCAGUGGCGAAGGCGGCUUACUGGACCAAAACUGACGCUGAGGCUCGAAAGCGUGGGGAGCAAACAGGAUUAGAUACCCUGGUAGUC
rnacentral:rRNA from 1 species